ensembl:ncRNA Y75B8A.52 ncRNA
UUUAGGCUUAGGCUUAGGCUUAGGUUAGGUUUAGGCUUAGGCUUAUGUUUAGGCUAAGGCCUAGGCUUAGAUUUAGGCUUAGGCUUAGGGCUUAAGCUUAGG